rnacentral:rRNA from 1 species
GACGAACGCUGGCGGCGUGCCUAAUACAUGCAAGUCGAACGCUGAAGGAGGAGCUUGCUCUUCUGGAUGAGUUGCGAACGGGUGAGUAACGCGUAGGUAACCUGCCUGGUAGCGGGGGAUAACUAUUGGAAACGAUAGCUAAUACCGCAUAAGAGUAGAUGUUGCAUGACAUUUACUUAAAAGGUGCAAUUGCAUCACUACCAGAUGGACCUGCGUUGUAUUAGCUAGUUGGUGGGGUAACGGCUUACCAAGGCGACGAUACAUAGCCGACCUGAGAGGGGGAUCGGCCACACUGGGACUGAGACACGGCCCAGAAUCCUACGGGAAGCAGCAGUAGGGAAUCUUCGGGAAUAGACGGAAGUCUGACCGAGCAACGCCGCGUGAGUGAAGAAGGUUCUCGGAUCGUAAAGCUCUGUUGUAAGAGAAGAACGAGUGUGAGAGUGGAAAGUUCACACUGUGACGGUAUCUUACCAGAAAGGGACGGCUAACUACGUG